rnacentral:rRNA from 1 species
GCAGCGAAGCCGCGAGGCGGAGCAAAAUCUCCAAAAAAAUGUCUCAGUUCAGAUUGCAGGCUGCAACUCGCCUGCAUGAAGUCGGAAUUGCUAGUAAUCGUAGGUCAGCAUACUACGGUGAAUACGUUCCCGGGCCUUGUACACACCGCCCGUCAAACCAUGAGAGUUGGCAACACCCGAAGUCGGUAGUCUAACCGCAAGGAGGACGCCGCCGAAGGUGGGGUCGAUGAUUAGGGUUAAGUCGUAACAAGGUAAC